rnacentral:rRNA from 1 species
UACGUAGGGGGCGAGCGUUGUCCGGAGUUAUUGGGCGUAAAGCGCGCGCAGGCGGUCUAGCCAGUCUGGAGUGACAGUUCCCGGCUCACCUGGGAAAGGUCCUCGGAAACUGCUAGACUUGAGGGACUCAGAGGGAGACGGAAUUCCAGGUGGAGCGGUGAAAUGCGUAGAGAUCUGGAGGAACACCAAAGGCGAAGGCAGUCUCCUGGGAGUUACCUGACGCUCAGGCGCGAAAGCCAGGGGAGCGAACGGG